rnacentral:rRNA from 1 species
CCGUAAACGAUGCUCGCUAGGUGUCAGGUGCGGUGCGACCGCAUUUGGUGCCGUAGUGAAAACUUGAAGCGAGUCACCUGGGAAGUACGGUCGCAAGGCUGAAACUUAAAGGAAUUGGCGGGGGAGCACUACAACGGGUGGAGCCUGCGGUUCAAUUGGAUUCAACGCCGGAAAGCUUACCGGGUCAGACAGCAAUAUGAAGGUCAAGCUAAAGACUUUACCGAAUUCGCUGAGAGGAGGUGCAUGGCCGUCGUCAGUUCGUAUCGUGAGACAUCCUGUUAAGUCAGGCAACGAGCAAGACCCGUGCCCACAGUUGCCAGCAUACCCUCCGGGGUGAUGGGCACACUGUGGGGACCGCCGCUGCUAAAGCGGAGGAAGGCGCGGGCUACGGUAGGUCAGUAUGCCCCGAAUCAUCCGGGCUACACGCGGGCUACAAUGGUUGGGACAAUGGGCACCUACACCGAGAGGUGAUGGUAAUCUCCUAAACCCAGCCUUAGUUCGGAUUGAGGGCUGCAACUCU